CUAAGUCUUCAAUCUUGUCCAGAAGGGAGCCCUGCCUCCUACCUCAGCAGGGCCCUUUUUUUGCUGCUGCUCUGCAGAUGAUUUGUGGGGGUUUGGCUCCCUGGUACAGCCUUUGACCCAUGGCUAAAGAGAAAAAAAUCACUAGCAUAUUGCUUAAUUAUUUGUUGAGUUUGUUGUAUCCAAUUUUCAAAUGCUCAAUUGUUGAUCCAGGCUGUUUGGCAUCCUUUCCCCUGCUUCUGGAAUAACAUCCCUUCCAGUAUGUUGCAUUGUACAAGAUGAAGUUAGAGUGUGAAGCAUGGAACAAAGUGCUUAUUGAGCCAGAAAAUACUGCCCAACCAGCUCUCAAGGCAAAGAGAGGGUGUACGAGAAGCUAAUCUUCAAAUGAGAGGUGGAGACCCAGCUGGCAGCUAGCAUGGUGCGGCGUGUUGGAGGCAAGAAGCAGAAUCUCAGACUGGCAAGAUGCAAGGGCAGGCAGCCCACCCACAGGGAAGGCGUCGCCAAUCUUGAGCAACUCUAGAAGAGAAACCUGAACACAUCAGAACUCAAACUAACUGAUAAUGAACUGGUUUUCAUUACUUCCUGAGUGAUCAGGAGGUAGAAUUGUCUCUUACAACCCAAUGUAUACCAUUCUCAGUUGUCUAUUUAAGGAUUUCUUAGUGAGCUCCAUGGUAAAAUAUAUCUACUUCUUAAAAAAAAAAAAGUAAAGAAUCUGCAACAACCUACUGAACUACUAAGUGGAUUUAGCAAGGCUGCAGGUUACAAAGUCAAUAUACUUAUAUUUCUUAUAUACUAGCCACGAACAAUUAAAACAUUUUAUAAGUUUAUUUAUAACAACAUCAAACACACAAAAUACUUGGGAAUAAAUUAAAAUACAGAUACACUGAAAGCUACAAAAUAUUGCAGAGAAAAACAAAAGAAGGCCCCAAUACUAGAAAAGACAUACAAUGUUCAUACAUCUGGAUGAAGUUUGAAAAAUACUAAUCUAAGUUAAUCUUCUUAUAGAUUAAGAGAAUAAGAUAUAGCGCUUUUAAAUGACUUGCCCAUCACUCAACUCAGCGAGGACAGGACUAGAGGUUUAAAGGAAGUGGGUAGAGGUGUAAAGGACGUGGGGAGAGUUUAGGUAUCCCUUGUAAGAAAGCAGAAACACAGGAAAGCAUUGCAGAGUGAUACUGAGGCCCAGCUGAGGUCAGAGGUUGUGGAUUUCUCAUAGCACCAGCGAGCUUGGCCAAGGGAUUUUCUCCAGUGGCAUCCAAGAGAGCAGAGAAGUUGAGUUUAGUAUUAAGCUGAAGUUUAGGGUCUCUAAAGAUGGGAACAGCAAAAUGAUAAGCCUGCUGGGAUGUUGAAGGCACAGCGGGAGAGUUGUUAGUGAUUCAUCUGAAGGGACAGGUUUGCUCUGAUAAAGAAUGAGGCCUUGAGGAGGGUUAGAAGGACUUGAGCUCCUGAUAGGGCCAAAGAGAAGGCAUGGAGAAGAAAGAGGAUGGGAAAACCAAAGCGAUCAACUAUUGUGGUCAGUGCUUCGUCUAAUAAAGAAUCCAUUAUUAUAACUGCUGUAUUUCCUAAAGCAAGAUUUUUGACGAUGACUAAAAUUUUAAAGGAUUUGAUGCAUAAUUCUAUCUACUUGAAGAAUAUAAUAAGAGCAAUCCUUUCUUUCUAUUCUAGUUAAUAGAUUUUUUUUUUUUUUUGCAAUGUAUGUUAAGUGGACCCAACUCAGAAGUACAAUGGCCGAGGCGGGCGGAUCACGAGGUCAGGAGAUCGAGACCAUCCC
rnacentral:lncRNA from 10 species